CGCAUGGUAACAUAAUUNAAGCUCCGGCGGUUAGNGAUGGGCAUGCUUGACAUUNGCUGGUUGGUGAGGUAACGGCUCACCAAGGCGACGAUGUCUAGGGGUUCUGACANGAUGAUCCCCCACACUGGUACUGAAACNCNGACCANACUCCUACGGGAGGCNGCANUNAGGAAUAUUGCGCAAUGGAGGCNACUCUGACGCAGCCAUGCCGCGUGCANGANGACGGCNUUAUGGGUUGUAAACUGCUUUUAUUUGAGAAUAACUCCCUGUUUGCGAACGGGGCUGAGGGUACCAAAUGAAUAANCACCGGCUAACUCCNUGCCNNCANCCGCGGUAAUACGGAGGGUGCAAGCGUUAUCCGGAUUCAUUGGNUUUAAAGGGUGCGCAGGCGGAUUAUUAAGUCACUGGUGAAAUCCNGGGGCUCAACCUCGGAACUGCCAUUGAUACUGGUANUCUUGAAUUCGGUUGGAGUG
rnacentral:rRNA from 1 species